rnacentral:rRNA from 1 species
AGGACGAACGCUGGCGGCGUGCUUAACACAUGCAAGUCGAGCGGAAAGGCCCUUCGGGGUACUCGAGCGGCGAACGGGUGAGUAACACGUGAGGAACCUGCCCUGGACUUUGGGAUAACCCUCGGAAACGGGGGCUAAUACCGAAUACGACACGGUCUCGCAUGAGAUCCGUGUGGAAAGUUUUUUCGGUCUGGGAUGGUCUCGCGGCCUAUCAGCUUGUUGGUGGGUAAUGGCCUACCAAGGCGACGACGGGUAGCC